rnacentral:lncRNA from 1 species
AAUAAAUUCAAAAUAAUCCUCAAAUAAAUGCAAGGUUAAUAAUGCUGAAAAAUCAGCUAAAAUAAAGUAAAGUAAAAGUCUUCAUACUGUAAAGAAGUAAUUAUUGAUUGGCCAUUUCCAUGAGGGUAUAUUAGAUUUGAACCUUUAAAAAUUUCAUAAAAGCAAAGGCUGCCCUCCUCAAUUAUGUCCAUAAAGCCAUCUUUAUCCACACUAUAGAGGUUGUUAGAGCUCUGUUUCAUUUUUUGUUGUUGUUGGUUGAGAUAGCUUCAGCGAACGCCAAAGUCAAAGUCAAAGUUGUAAAUGUGGUUGGUUGACAAUUAAUAUAAAGAACUGAGAGUCGGUGGCAUUUCUGGAGUAGCUUUCAAGCCCUUCAAUAGGUAUCAAUAUUUGAUUUCCAGAAUAUGAUAUGGCCACUAUCUCCUAGCAAACACGUGGCCGGUCACCCCUGCACGUGACCGCACCCAUCACUCACCCCAUGGCCCACUCACCAUGUGUGCGCACCAUUGUGUAGAAAUCAGUUGUCAGAGGCCACCAUGUCUACAAGGCAAUAUGGAACCCCGUAAUAGGAGAGAAACUAUAGGUCUUGCUGGAGAACGACAACGAGCAGCUAUAACACCAUUUACAAUAGCUGCUGCAAGCACAGAGCUAGAGAGGGGUAGCGAAGGGGCGUGGCGAGACUAACUAGGGCCUAGGGGCUACGGCUACACAGUGAUUGAGUCAUGAAUCAUGUCAGUCCUGAUCCGGCCUAAUGCAUCCUGAAUCAUGGAUUUUGGGCAGCUAACAUUGCAAUGAGCCUAGCCUGAUCCAUCAGCCCUGAUACAAUCAUGCUGGAAUUCAUACUGGUUCAGCAAGAGCAACAUGCAUGAUUCAGCAAUGAUACCUGUCAGACUGUAUCAAUACUGUAAUCAGGCUCAAUUCAUUGAUUUUGGGCAGUGUCUCAUAUCAUACAUGCUACCUCCUUUUUUACAACACAUGCCUAGUAAAAACGAAUACUAUAGUAAAAAUAUUGAAGAGACGAUACUGGUAUUCCAUCCCCAUUCUUUCUGCCUCCUUAUACCUCUUUAGUCGCUACUUGUUCUGGCCGCUGGCUGUGUGCUAUUCAAAGGGCAGCUUCUAUUCGAGGAAAUACGGUAUUAAAUUUUUAAAUAAAUUCUACAAGUUACAUAAUACAUAACAGUAAGAGUACACCCACUCUUGAUAACAGCUGCAAGUGUAAUAAUUGCAAAAAGGGAAUUAAAUUCAUAAAGUCAACAAUAACAAAAUUUUCUUUGCACAGACAAUUAUUGCUUACCAAGACAAAAAUAAAUACAAAAUAAUACUAAAAUACUUAAUCUAAACACAAGAUUAAUGUCAAGCUGCAAACUCUGCUAGAAGAAAGUCUACGUCUGACAGUAAAGAAACAACCUUUGACCAACCAUUUCGAUCACGACGUCUGAGAUUUGAAUCACUGAAAACUUCAUAAAAGUCAUAACAUUUACAAGAAACAAAGACAAAAAUUAAUUCUCAAAUAAAUACAAGGUUAAUUGCUGAAAAAUCAGCUAAAAUAAAGUAAAGUAAAAGUCUUCAUACUGUAAAGAAUUAGUCAUUAAUCGGUCAUUUCCAUGAAGGUAUAUUAGUUUUGGAUCUUUAGAAAUUCAUAAAAGUCAAUUAAAUUGCCCUCCUUAAUCAUAUCCAUAAAGCUAUCUUUAUCCACAUUAUAUGUUGUCAGAGCUCAUAAAUAGAUGUUUCAUUUUUUGUUGCCGUUGGUUGAGAAAGCUUCAGCGAACGCCAAAGUCAUCUGUGCACACGAACAGUUAACCCAGAAAUGAGUGAUACUACUAUACAAUGCUGGCCCUACUAGCUGGUAGUUCGAUAGUUUUAAAUGUGGUUGGUUGACAAUUAAUCGGAACUGAGAGUCGGUGGAAUUUCUGGAGUAUGCAUUCAAGCCCUUCAAUAGGUUUUAAAUAUCAAUGUUUGAUUUCCAGAAUAUGAUAUAGAGUAUUAUAUAUAUUAAGAGAAUGGCUAAUAGGCCACUAUCUCCUAGCAAACACAUGGCCGGUCACACCUGCACGUGACCGCACCCAUCACUCACCCCACUAGCACUCACCAUGUGUGCGCACCAUUGUGUAGAAAUCAAUUGUCAGAGGCCACCAUGUCUACAAGGCAAUAUGGAACCCCGUAAUAGGAGAGAAACUAUAGGUCUUGCUGGAGAACGACAAUGAGCAGCUAUUUUUUUGCUAUUGGUAGAAAAAGUCUCAGCAAAUGCUAAAGUCAUUGGUGUGUGUGGUGUGAUAUGAGGUCAUAUGACAUCACAAGCAAUAGUAUAUAAAUUCAGAAAUUUAGUUCUCAUUCUAGUUCUCUCCGCCGUUCUCUUGGUCUCCUUCAUUUGUUCGUUAUUUCCUACUCUCAAUUCUCUCAACUCUUUGAUCAUCUUGAUAUAACCUUCCUCAGCCCACUCUGGAUCUUACUUAUAGACUCACUACUCACUAGUUAUUGAUCAAUCCGUAUGCUAGUACCAUUAUUAUAUUGUUUCUGUACAUUAUUAUUAUUUACUACUUCUUUUCCUCUUGUGUGGUUUUAUGAUGUUUUUUUCUGUUAUUAACUUAUUAUUAUUCAUUAUUAUUAAUUAAUUGAUCAUUUUUGUAUAAAAGGAGACCUUUUUGUUAGUUUAUUUUUAGAGGGACUUGUUAGAGUGUGUGAGUGAGAGCAUAUUGUAUUGUGGCCUUUUUUGUCUUUCCAUUUGCUCUUUGAUUUCUGUGUGAUAAUUGAAUUGAUUUGUUUGAGAAAAGAGUUUGUUUUUUUGAAUGGUAAA